rnacentral:rRNA from 1 species
AGAGUUUGAUCCUGGCUCAGGAUGAACGCUAGCUACAGGCUUAACACAUGCAAGUCGCGGGGCAGCAUGGGGGUUGCUUGCAAUCCCUGAUGGCGACCGGCGCACGGGUGAGUAACGCGUAUCCAACCUGCCCUUCACCACGGGAUAACCCGGCGAAAGUCGGACUAAUACCGUAUGUUGUCCAUUGACGGCAUCCGAUUUGGACGAAAGGCUUAGCGGUGAGGGAUGGGGAUGCGUCCGAUUAGCUUGACGGCGGGGUAACGGCCCACCGUGGCUACGAUCGGUAGGGGUUCUGAGAGGAAGGUCCCCCACACUGGAACUGAGACACGGUCCAGACUCCUACGGGAGGCAGCAGUGAGGAAUAUUGGUCAAUGGGCGGAAGCCUGAACCAGCCAAGUAGCGUGCAGGAUGACGGCCCUAUGGGUUGUAAACUGCUUUUAUGCGGGGAUAAAGUGGCCCACGUGUGGGUUUUUGCAGGUACCGCAUGAAUAAGGACCGGCUAAUUCCGUGCCAGCAGCCGCGGUAAUACGGAAGGUCCGGGCGUUAUCCGGAUUUAUUGGGUUUAAAGGGAGCGUAGGCCGCCCCUUAAGCGUGUUGUGAAAUGCGGGUGCUCAACAUCCGACUUGCAGCGCGAACUGGGGGGCUUGAGUGCGCCGAAAGUAGGCGGAAUUCGUGGUGUAGCGGUGAAAUGCUUAGAUAUCACGAAGAACUCCGAUUGCGAAGGCAGCUUACUGUAGCGCAACUGACGCUGAUGCUCGAAAGCGUGGGUAUCGAACAGGAUUAGAUACCCUGGUAGUCCACGCGGUAAACGAUGGAUGCUCGUUGUCGGCCUUUUUGGUCGGUGACCAAGCGAAAGCGUUAAGCAUCCCACCUGGGGAGUACGCCGGCAACGGUGAAACUCAAAGGAAUUGACGGGGGCCCG